GCCAGCCGCCGCGGUAAUACGGAGGGUGCAAGCGUUAAUCGGAAUUACUGGGCGUAAAGCGCACGCAGGCGGUCUGUCAAGUCGGAUGUGAAAUCCCCGGGCUCAACCCGGGAACUGCAUUCGAAACUGGCAGGCUUGAGUCUCGUAGAGGGGGGUAGAAUUCCAGGUGUAGCGGUGAAAUGCGUAGAGAUCUGGAGGAAUACCGGUGGCGAAGGCGGCCCCCUGGACGAAGACUGACGCUCAGGUGCGAAAGCGUGGGGAGCAAACAGGAUUAGAUACCCUGGUAGUCCACGCCGUAAACGAUGUCGACUUGGAGGCUGUGAGCUUGACUCGUGGCUUCCGGAGCUAACGCGUUAAGUCGACCGCCUGGGGAGUACGGCCGCAAGGUUAAAACUCAAAUGAAUUGACGGGGGCCCGCACAAGCGGUGAAGCAUGUGGUUUAAUUCGAUGCAACGCGAAGAACCUUACCUGGUCUUGACAUCCACGGAAUUCUGCAGAGAUGCGGAAGUGCCUUCGGGAACCGUGAGACAGGUGCUGCAUGGCUGUCGUCAGCUCGUGUUGUGAAAUGUUGGGUUAAGUCCCGCAACGAGCGCAACCCUU
rnacentral:rRNA from 1 species